rnacentral:rRNA from 1 species
UACAGAGGUCUCAAGCGUUGUUCGGAUUCAUUGGGCGUAAAGAGCUCGUAGGCGGUUUGUCGCGUCUGCUGUGAAAACUCGGGGCUUAACCCCGGGCCUGCAGUGGGUACGGGCAGACUAGAGUGCGGUAGAGGAGAGUGGAAUUCCCGGUGUAGCAGUGAAAUGCGUAGAGAUCGGGAGGAACAUCAGUUGCGAAGGCGGCUCUCUGGACCAGUACUGACGCUGAGGCGCGACAGCGUGGGGAGCGAACAGG